UAAAAUUUAUAAAAUUAGGUAAUAAAGAAAUUUCUGAAACCUAAAGAAUUUGGCGGUAUUUUAAAUAAUUGGAGGAACCUGUUAUUUAAUUGACAAUCCACAACAUAUCUCUCCUAAAUUUUAUUUGUAUAUCGUCGUUUUGAUAAUAUUUAAAAAUUAUAAUCAAUAUUAAUAAAUUUUCGUAAAUCAGAUCAAGGUGCAGUAUAUUUAGGUUAUAAUGGGUUACAAUAUAAAUAUAUAUAAUGGAUGCAAACUUGAAAUUAUGCUGAAAGCGGAUUCAAAAGUAAUAUUAAAUUAAAAUGUUAAUUUGAUUAAUAAUUUAAAAUAUGC
rnacentral:rRNA from 1 species